AGUGAACGCUGGCGGUAGGCCUAACACAUGCAAGUCGAACGGCAGCACAGUAAGAGCUUGCUCUUACGGGUGGCGAGUGGCGGACGGGUGAGGAAUACAUCGGAAUCUACUUUUUCGUGGGGGAUAACGUAGGGAAACUUACGCUAAUACCGCAUACGACCUACGGGUGAAAGCAGGGGAUCUUCGGACCUUGCGCGAUUGAAUGAGCCGAUGUCGGAUUAGCUAGUUGGCGGGGUAAAGGCCCACCAAGGCGACGAUCCGUAGCUGGUCUGAGAGGAUGAGCAGCCACACUGGAACUGAGACACUGUCCAAACGCCUAAGGGGGAAAGCAAGGGGGAAUAUUGGAAAAUGGGGGAAAGCCUGAUCCAGCCAUACCGCGUGGGUGAAGAAGGCCUUCGGGUUGUAAAGACCUUUUGUUGGGAAAGAAAAGCAGCAGGUUAUUGCAGCGCUGUUGUGACGGUACCCAAAGAAUAAGCACCGGCUAACUUCGUG
rnacentral:rRNA from 1 species